GAUGAACGCUGGCGGCGUGCCUAAUACAUGCAAGUCGAGCGAACAGACGAGGAGCUUGCUCCUCUGAUGUUAGCGGCGGACGGGUGAGUAACACGUGGAUAACCUACCUAUAAGACUGGGAUAACUUCGGGAAACCGGAGCUAAUACCGGAUAACAUGUUGAACCGCAUGGUUCAACAGUGAAAGACGGUCUUGCUGUCACUUAUAGAUGGAUCCGCGCCGCAUUAGCUAGUUGGUAAGGUAACGGCUUACCAAGGCAACGAUGCGUAGCCGACCUGAGAGGGUGAUCGGCCACACUGGAACUGAGACACGGUCCAGACUCCUACGGGAGGCAGCAGUAGGGAAUCUUCCGCAAUGGGCGAAAGCCUGACGGAGCAACGCCGCGUGAGUGAAGAAGGUCUGCGGAUCGUAAAACUCUGUUAUUAGGGAAGAACAAAUGUGUAAGUAACUAUGCACGUCUUGACGGUACCUAAUCAGAAAGCCACGGCUAACUACGU
rnacentral:rRNA from 1 species